UACAGAGGUCUCAAGUGUUGUUCGGAUUCAUUGGGCGUAAAGGGUGCGUAGGUGGCGGGGUAAGUCAGGUGUGAAAUCUCGGAGCUCAACUCCGAAACUGCACUUGAUACUGCCUUGCUUGAGUACUGGAGAGGAGAUUGGAAUUUACGGUGUAGCAGUGAAAUGCGUAGAUAUCGUAAGGAAGACCAGUGGCGAAGGCGAAUCUCUGGACAGUUACUGACACUGAGGCACGAAGGCCAGGGGAGCAAACGGGG
rnacentral:rRNA from 1 species